AAGGUGGCUCAGGGUCAGCUGUUUGUAAGGUCACUGAUUCAAAGAUCUAGGUUAGCUGGUAACUUCAUAGUUAGUGCCUUUGGAUCAUCUCUAAGCUCUUGUGGGAUAGACUGACUCCUGACCUUUUACCCCUGUAGCUGGUGGGAACGGAGAGCUCUGGAGACCUCAAAAGUCCCCCAGUCUCCACAUAAGCUGAGCUGAUGAAUUCUGACAAGGCUGACAACACCUCUGAAGGUUUCUUUCCAGAACAGCUGUCUCGGGAGGAACUCUCACCUCCACCUCAGAGCUAUAAACUGAGCUCCACAGAGUGGAUGACUCUGUGGAAGAUAAAUGAUGCUGUCUUUAGUGACUGCUUUCUAGGAGGACAAAAUGUAAGAAAGAAGUGAACAGACCCUUCAGUGGCACUUGAACAUAGGCAGUUAAAUCUUCAGUCAUCAAAACACACAGCUGUAAAUGGGCACAAGUACCUAUUGUCAUGGAGUUGUGGACUUAAUGUGAGGUGAUGAUGUUUCAAGUAUUAAUUGUGGAUCUCUUACAGUACCAUCUCUUGACUUCCGAAAUUCAAGAUGAUUACUGUUUUGAUGUCAGCCCCCUUAUCCACAGCUUUUUCCAGCUAUCUGUAACCCUCUGGGAGGCCCUGUCUGCUGAAGCAACGCCACUUUUCUGCCAUCGGGUUUUCAGAUAGAGGAAGUCUGGGAUACAGAGGUUGAGAUACCUGAAAUCUCAAAGUGAAUCAGAAUCAGAAGCAGAGACUGAGAGGGAGUCUAGCCUCCUUUUUUGGUUCCACAAUGGUUUGAGAAUCUUCAAAACGAGUUAAUUUCCUGUUGGCUGAGACAUGAAUGGCAAAUCUCUGUUAAGCCACGCUAGAAUUCCUCUGAUCUACUGGCAAUAUGGGAUAUUGCUAGUGAAUUGAAAAAGGUAUAGAGCUGGGAACCAUAUCUGCCUGUAAAAGUGGUGGAUGGUCUGUCACAGCUUUUGGCCCUGGGGGAGCACCAUUGGCCAGACCUCUCUGGGGCAGAGCUCUCAUUCAGCACUUUCAGCAAGUUUAACAGGACUGAGCAUUGCAGUCUUGGCUUUGUCCUCUGGGCCAGGCACUGAGAGCUGGCACUGCUUGGUUUGUACUACCCUGAGAACAACCAGAGCUCAACAGGGACGCAAACAAGGGAGUUAUCCCAUGAAGAGCCUGCAGGAAAUAAUAUAGAAAGCCACCAUCUUUGAGGAAUGUGAAUUUUUGCUAUUUAAGGAACUAUUGAUAAUGUCAAAAUAUCCCCCCAAAGAGUGAAUUUUGAACAGCAAACUCUUAGUGGGAAGCACACAUCACUCUAGAGAUAAUCAAUUGGUUAACUGAAGCCUUAAAGGAAGUGAAAGACAAAACUGUGUUACCAAGGAAAAGUUUAUGCAGUAACUCCCAAAUCUUGAUGAGAAAUGUCUUAUCACUGUAAUCUGUUCAUGCAUUUUCUUUCACAAGAAGUGCAGCAGGCCAAACACCUGGAACAGAUUUUGUUUAUAAUACAUGUAAUGACAUCAACAAAAGAUUUGGAAACACACUGUAUUCAUACUCAGCAUCACAAAAUGUUACAAAAUUGCUGCCUUUGCAGAGUUCCCAGCAAAACAGGAAAUAAAUGAAUUUAAAAAUUUCAUGAGAAGCAGAAAAUAAAUUUGAAAAUAAUGUUAGAUGCAGAAAAAUAUAGAAUGCUGCCUUAGAUGCAGAAGCUGGAGGGGAUCAGAUUUUCAGCCUAAUUGUGGGGUAGAGUGAAGGCUGGAGAAUGAUCUGAGAAAAUGAUCCUUGGAGGAGAUGAUCAGACAACAUGAAAAUUCAUGGACUAUUUUGAAAGUCAGACUUUUCAAUUUGUGUUCAUAAUUUCUCUAUAAUAAACACAAGUAUUCAUGCAUAAAUUAUGCUAAAAGUGUGGUAUGAAGUUAGGUACCAAAUGCUGUGUAUUACCAUUCUUGCAGUUUAAAGACUUGGAACAUAAAGGUCCAUUUACUUUUUUAUUACCUUUUUUUUUCUUAAUUUCCUUCAAGCCUGGAAGAGUCAGUAACCAUGGAAUUUACUCUUAAAACAGUUCCAAACAAUAUAAUUACUAACUAAGUUUUUUUCCUAUUUUGGGAUAAAUGGUGUGAAUCAACAAAACACUGCAGAAAUCAGCUUUCUACACAAAUUGCUGAUAACAAAAAAGUGGUUAAUCAGGAACAGAGGCUUCAAAAGGGACUUCUAAGGACACUAAACCCCAGAGCUCUCAAUUGCAAGCACUUUGAGAACAGAAGUUUUGCCCCAAAAGUCAAAUCCUGAAACAUAUACUCUGCUCAUCUCACUCCACUAAAUAACUGUUUUCUCCAAACUGAGAGCUUGGCAUUGGUAGGAAAAUGCUCACUGUUUCAGAGAGAUGUCAAAGGGAGAAAUCCAAGCUGUAUUCAGAACACAAGGCCAUAUUGUGGGAGGCUUUGAUAUCGAGAGAUUUGGAUGGUGAGAUUUCCAGCUGUUUGCAGAAAUCAGGUUGUACCCAUUAAUGCUAAAUUGGCUCUCCCUUUUUCCAGAAAGAAUGUAUUUUGCUUAUAUUUCCAAAGAAAGAUUAAAUUUGUAGGCAACCAGGGUCUGGACUUCUUAAACUAUUUCCAUUCCCUCUCACCCUCCAGAGACCCCAUCCCCCAAAAGAGAAAGCCUAUCCAUUCUUGAAAUUUAGUAAUGUGGCCUGAACUUUUUUGCAGAAGUAGCAGCCACCACUAUUUCUGUUACACUAAUGUCCAUCUUGCUGCAUUGCUAGAACAUUGUUUUCACUAUUCCCACUUAUCCUUUAAAAUGAGAUGAAACUAUAGGACAGACAUCUGUGCUUCCCUUAAAGCAAAGCAAAAGCCCAAGCUCAGACAGUGAAAUGUUUUAAAUACUGCUGCUGAAACCUCUGAAAGGAAAUUUGCUUUAUACCUUGAAAUAAACAUUCCUGCGCUCAGAUCCAGACAGAUCACUUUGCAAUUUCCACCCCCCCAUCUGAGAAUAUUUACAAAAUCACUGACUCUCAUUUUACUUUUCCAGAUGAUGACAGGGCAAAUUUAAAGGCUACCUUUUUCAGAGUAGGCUCACCCCUCUAAAUACUUCAGAAAGGAUAAUUUCACUGUAUUUUCUUACUUUUCACUCAUUUUCAAACUGAAGCUAAAGAUAUCCCAUUCCACUGAAUACUUAUCUCCUGAUAUUUUA